rnacentral:rRNA from 1 species
CCGCGUGGAGGAUGACGCAUUUCGGUGUGUAAACUCCUUUUAUAAGGGAAGAUAAUGACGGUACCUUAUGAAUAAGCACCGGCUAACUCCGUGCCAGCAGCCGCGGUAAUACGGAGGGUGCAAGCGUUACUCGGAAUCACUGGGCGUAAAGGAUGCGUAGGCUGGAAAUCAAGUCGAGAGUGAAAUCCAACGGCUCAACCGUUGAACUGCUCUCGAAACUGGUUACCUAGAAUAUGGGAGAGGUAGAUGGAAUUGGUGGUGUAGGGGUAAAAUCCGUAGAUAUCACCAGGAAUACCGAUUGCGAAGGCGAUCUACUGGAACAUUAUUGACGCUGAGGCAUGAAAGCGUGGGGAGCAAACAGGAUUAGAUACCCUGGUAGUCCACGCCCUAAACGAUGCACACUAGUUGUUGCGAUGCUAGUCAUUGCAGUAAUGCACUUAACAGAUUAAGUGUGCCGCCUGGGGAGUACGGUCGCAAGAUUAAAACUCAAAGGAAUAGACGGGGACCCGCACAAGCGGUGGAGCAUGUGGUUUAAUUCGAAGAUACACGAAGAACCUUACCUGGCCUUGAUAUCCUAAGAAUCCUUUAGAGAUAAGGGAGUGCUAGUUUACUAGAACUUAGAGACAGGUGCUGCACGGCUGUCGUCAGCUCGUGUCGUGAGAUGUUGGGUUAAGUCCCGCAACGAGCGCAACCCUCGUGAUUAGUUGCUAACAGUUCGGCUGAGCACUCUAAUCAGACUGCCUUCGCAAGGAGGAGGAAGGUGAGGACGACGUCAAGUCAUCAUGGCCCUUAUGGCCAGGGCUACACACGUGCUACAAUGGCUAGGACAAAGAGACGCGAUACUGCGAAGUGGAGCAAAUCUUAAAACCUAGUCUCAGUUCGGAUUGGAGUCUGCAACUCGACUCCAUGAAGCUGGAAUCGCUAGUAAUCGUAGAUCAGAUAUGCUACGGUGAAUACGUUCCCGGGUCUUGUACUCACGCCCGUCACACCAUGGAGUGAUUCACCCGAAGCGAUACUAACUAGUACGACACGUGGGUCAGCGACUGGG